AGUUCGAUCCUGGCUCCAGAUUGAACGCUGGCGGGAUACUUUACAUGCAAGUCGAACGGCAGCACGGACUCGGUCUGGUGGCGAGUGGCGAACGGGUGAGUAAUGUAUCGGAACGUGCUAGUAGCGGGGAUAUGCGCGAAAGCGUAGCUAAUACCGCAUACGCCUACAUCGGGGAAAGCGGGGACCUUCCAGGGCCUCGCACUAUUAAACGGCCGAUAUCGGAUUAGCUAGUUGGUGGGGUAACGGCUCACCAAGGCGACGAUCCGUAGCCGGUUUGAAGACGACAGCCUACUGGGACUGAGACACGAACUCUACAGGAGAGGCAGCAGUGAAAUUUUGGACAAUGGGGAAACCCUGAUCCCAGCCAUCCCGCGUGUGCGAUGAAGGCCUUCGGGUUGUAAACACGCUGGCAGGAAAAACGGCGGACCAUGCGAUACCUGACGGCAGUACCUGCAGAAUAAGCACCGGCUAACUACGUGCCAGCGGCCGCGGUAAUACGUAGGGUGCAAGCGUUAAUCGGAAUUACUGGGCGUAAAGCGUGCGCGGGCGGUUCGGAAGAAGAUGUGAAAUCCCAGACAACUUCGGGUUUCAUUUUAACUUUACAAACUGGAAUUAUUGUCAGAGGGGUGGAGUUCGCGAUGUGGCGGUAGAAAUGCGUAGAUAUGCGGAGAACACCGAUAGCGAAGCAGCCUCCUGGGAUGCUGCAACGCUGCUCUCAUGCACGAAGCGUGGGAGCAAGAGCAGGAUUAGAUGCCCUGGUGGUCACGCCUAAACGAUGUCAACUAGCUGUUGGGGCCUUCGGGCCUUGGUGGCUAGCUAACGCUGAAGUUGACCGCCUGGGAAGCUACAGUCGCAGGAUUAGAAACUCAAAGGUCUGACGGGGACCCUUUUAAGCGGUGGAUGAUGUGGAUUAAUUCGAUGCAACGCGAAAAGCCUUACCUACCCUUGUAUGUCUGGAAUCCCGAAGAUUUGGGAGUGCUCGCAAGAGAACCGGAACACAGGUGCUGCAUAGCUGUCGUCAGCUCGUGUCGUGAGAUGUUGGGUUAAGUCCCGCAACGGCGCAACCUUGUCAUUAGUUGCUACGAAAGGGCAUGGCGAGACUGCCGGUGACAAACCGGAGGAAGGUGGGGAUGACGUCAGUCCUCAGCUAUGGGUAGGGCUUCACACGUCAUACAAUGGUCGGGACAGAGGGUCGCCAGCCCGCGAGGAGGGCAAUCCCAGAAACCCGAUCGUAGUCCGGAUCGCAGUCUGCAACUCGACUGUAGCGAAGUCGGAAUCGCUAGUAAUCGCGGAUCAGCAUGUCGCGGUGAAUACGUUCCCGGGUCUUGUACACCGCCAAUCACACACCAUAGAAUUAGGUUUGCAAGUAGUUAGCCUAACCGUAAGGAGGGCGAUUACCACGGUAGGAUUCAUGACUAGGGUGAAGUCGUAACAAGGUAG
rnacentral:rRNA from 1 species